UUGUCUCAAAGAUUAAGCCAUGCAUGUCUCAGUACAAGCCUAAUUAAGGUGAAACCGCGAAAGGCUCAUUAAAUCAGUUAUGGUUCCUUAGAUCGUACCCACAUUUACUUGGAUAACUGUGGUAAUUCUAGAGCUAAUACAUGCAAACAGAGCUCCGACCGGAGACGGAAGGAGCGCUUUUAUUAGAUCAAAACCAAUCGGCGGCGGGUUCGCCCGUUCGUCGUACAACUUGGUGAAUCUGAAUAACUUUCUGCUGAUCGCAUGGUCUCGCACCGGCGACGCAUCUUUCAAAUGUCUGCCUUAUCAACUGUCGAUGGUAGGUUCUGCGCCUACCAUGGUUGUAACGGGUAACGGGGAAUCAGGGUUCGAUUCCGGAGAGGGAGCCUGAGAAACGGCUACCACAUCCAAGGAAGGCAGCAGGCGCGCAAAUUACCCACUCCCGGCACGGGGAGGUAGUGACGAAAAAUAACGAUACGGGACUCAUCCGAGGCCCCGUAAUCGGAAUGAGUACACUCUAAACCCUUUAACGAGGAUCAAUUGGAGGGCAAGUCUGGUGCCAGCAGCCGCGGUAAUUCCAGCUCCAAUAGCGUAU
rnacentral:rRNA from 1 species